rnacentral:rRNA from 1 species
AUGCUUAACACAUGCAAGUCGAACGUGCCUUCGGGCAAGUGGCAGACGGCUGAGUAACGCGUGAGUAACACACCCUUCGGUGGGGUAUAGCCUCGGGAAACUGAGGGUAAUCCCGCAUACGAUCCCUACGCUCUGGUGUAGGGAUGAAAGCCUUCGGGCGCCGGAGGAGUGGCUCGCGUCCUAUCAGGUAGUUGGUGAGGUAACGGCUCACCAAGCCGAUGACGGGUAGCUGGUCUUAGAGGAUGAUCAGCCACACCGGGACUGAGACACGGCCCGGACUCCUACGGGAGGCAGCAGUGGGGAAUAUUGCACAAUGGGCGCAAGCCUGAUGCAGCAAUGCCGCGUGUGUGAAGAAGGCUCUAGGGUUGUAAAGCACUUUCAAUAGAGAAGAAAAGCUUGAAAUUAAUACUUUCAAGCCUUGACGUAACCUAUACAAGAAGCGCCGGCUAAUUCCGUGCCAGCAGCCGCGGUAAUACGGGAGGUGCGAGCGUUAAUCGGAAUUACUGGGCGUAAAGCGAGCGUAGGCUGUUAAUUAAGUCGAAUGUGAAAUCCCCGGGCUCAACCUGGGAACUGCAUCCGAAACUAUUUAACUAGAGUAUGGGAGAGGAAAGUAGAAUUUCCGGUGUAGCGGUGAAAUGCGUAGAUAUCGGAAGGAACACCAGUGG